AGGGCAUGAUGUGGGAAUAGUCUCAACAUGUCCUUAUAUCUUUCCUAAGCCUCAAAGAGGGAUUUGACACCGGUCUGUCUAAAAUAGAUUAUCUGGUUUCUUAACAC